AGAGUUUGAUCAUGGCUCAGAUUGAACGCUGGCGGCAGGCCUAACACAUGCAAGUCGAGCGGAUGAGAGGAGCUUGCUCCUUGAUUUAGCGGCGGACGGGUGAGUAAUGCCUAGGAAUCUGCCUGGUAGUGGGGGAUAACGUUCCGAAAGGAACGCUAAUACCGCAUACGUCCUACGGGAGAAAGCAGGGGACCUUCGGGCCUUGCGCUAUCAGAUGAGCCUAGGUCGGAUUAGCUAGUUGGUGAGGUAAUGGCUCACCAAGGCGACGAUCCGUAACUGGUCUGAGAGGAUGAUCAGUCACACUGGAACUGAGACACGGUCCAGACUCCUACGGGAGGCAGCAGUGGGGAAUAUUGGACAAUGGGCGAAAGCCUGAUCCAGCCAUGCCGCGUGUGUGAAGAAGGUCUUCGGAUUGUAAAGCACUUUAAGUUGGGAGGAAGGGCAUUAACCUAAUACGUUAGUGUUUUGACGUUACCGACAGAAUAAGCACCGGCUAACUUCGUGCCAGCAGCCGCGGUAAUACGAAGGGUGCAAGCGUUAAUCGGAAUUACUGGGCGUAAAGCGCGCGUAGGUGG
rnacentral:rRNA from 1 species